AUUGAACGCUGGCGGCAUGCUUUACACAUGCAAGUCGAGCGGCAGCGCGGGGGCAACCCUGGCGGCGAGCGGCGAACGGGUGAGUAAUGCAUCGGAACGUACCCUGGAGUGGGGGAUAACGCCGCGAAAGCGGCGCUAAUACCGCAUAUGCUCUGAGGAGGAAAGCGGGGGCUCGCAAGACCUCGCGCUCUGGGAGCGGCCGAUGUCCGAUUAGCUAGUUGGUGGGGUAAAGGCUUACCAAGGCGACGAUCGGUAGCUGGUCUGAGAGGAUGAUCAGCCACACUGGGACUGAGACACGGCCCAGACUCCUACGGGAGGCAGCAGUGGGGAAUUUUGGACAAUGGGGGCAACCCUGAUCCAGCCAUGCCGCGUGAGUGAAGAAGGCCUCGGUUGUAAG
rnacentral:rRNA from 1 species